GGUUAAGCGACUAAGCGUACACGGUGGAUGCCCUGGCAGUCAGAGGCGAUGAAGGACGUGCUAAUCUGCGAAAAGCGUCGGUAAGGUGAUAUGAACCGUUAUAACCGGCGAUGUCCGAAUGGGGAAACCCAGUGUGUUUCGACACACUAUCAUUAACUGAAUCCAUAGGUUAAUGAGGCGAACCGGGGGAACUGAAACAUCUAAGUACCCCGAGGAAAAGAAAUCAACCGAGAUUCCCCCAGUAGCGGCGAGCGAACGGGGAGGAGCCCAGAGCCUGAAUCAGUGUGUGUGUUAGUGGAAGCGUCUGGA
rnacentral:rRNA from 1 species